UCGACGACGAUGCGUUCUACAUCUGCACCGAGAUGUCGCCGCGUUGCUUCGUCGUGC
rnacentral:pre_miRNA from 1 species